GUGCUAUAUCUGUACUUAUUUUUUAAUUCUUUUGUAUGGGGUAGAGAAUCUCACAGGGUGCCAUUUGAAGCUUAGGAUUGAACCAUAGGAGAAUAAGUAUAUUUUCAUGUUGGUAUCCACAGGCAAACACUUGAACUCCUUUAAAUGCGAAAUUAUCCAGCCUACAAUAAAUAGACUGUAGGAUCAAUAGCAGGACUCAAGUGGAAGUAUAGCUUUAUUAUUCUUGAUUUAAACACUUGUGUUAGAACAGGAGAUACAUGUACACUUUUGGGUAUGAUAUUUUUGGCUGAAGUUUGCAUGUUCUUGUGGCUUAUAAGUGGCUAAUAAAUAUUAUAUAAGCUUAAGUAAAUAAAUUUUGAAAUUGGUCCAAUACCUAUGAUUUCUUUAGAAAAUUUCUGUUGUCAGCACCUGAAAACACUAUACUUAAGCACAUACAUCUUCAUUUGCUUUGAAAAAGGGUAUCUAGGUCUUGAGCAUUUGUCACAAAAAAAAAGAAAGAAUUCUUUCAUGGAUAUAUUCUGUUAAAAAGUAGACAAAAUUACAGAUAUAAAGACCUGAUGUAUUGGAUGAAGUUGCAGAAGAUGUAAUUCAUGUUUGUCUCUACAUGUCACUCAUGUCCAUGAUCUCAGUAUUGUCAAUUUACUCACAUGACACUUAUCCUCGGUCAUAGUCAGUUUAGUCUUUUGUCUUAUUUCAUUUAUGCAACUAAUGUAUGAAUUACUUCUCAACAGGAAACUAUGUUGUUCUACUGUAAGGUCGCUUUUCACAAACGAGGGAAAACAUGGUGGCGAAGCUACUGUGGAGGCUGUUCGUUUAAUCGCAAAUUAUGUGAAAGCUCGUAAUUGUCAACUGCAUCCUGAUUCCAUUGAGGCAUGAGGCACUACCCAACCAUUCCUUUCUAUUUUAAUAUGGUCUGCAUGUACUAGAAAUAAAAACUACCCUAAACCCUAACACCCCCCCCUAAAAUUUUUUUUUUGAUAAUAUAGGUUGACUUUUAGGUUUAUGGUAUAGAUGUGACUUUCCCUACCCUUAGGACUCCAUGAUCUGCCAACAAGAUUGUGGAUUUCUUCUGUUAAAAUUAAAAGAAUGUAAUGAUUUUACUUUCACAGUUAUAGAAAUCAUGUAGUGUUUAUCAGAUAGUUGUGCUGCCAUCUUAAAUAAGUAAUGCACAUUAUGGUUGUCAGUUGGGUUUUUAAAUUGUAUCUAGCUGAGUCAGAUAACUGAAGAGGCAUAUGAGUAUGAUAGGAGAUGUUUUGCUUCUUUCCCCCCAAUAGUCCACAAAUUGUAUGCAUAUGAGUUUUGUUUUCAUGCUUUACAUCCCUUGCUUAUCAUUUGAUAUCUGCUGCAGGUUUUCUUGUCUCUGUCAUUCUAUGAGGAUCUUGGGAGGGCUGCAAAAGAAGAUGAUAAAAAUAAAUCCAAAAACAAAAGAGGUAAAAAAAGAAAGGAUCAUGAGGAUCCACGCCAAAAGAAAGAAAAUGACAAAAAAAGGAGUAGGCAAGAACAACUGCUCAAGACCAGGGAGGAGGUGCUUUUUUUAUGUUUAUCAUAUUAUUAAGUUAAAAAAAAAAAACUGAUUUCUCUCUAUCUUCUUGUCUCGGUUUUUUCUCCCAAAUACGAUAAAGCUUCCGGAAGUCAUUGGUUUCUUGAUCUUGCUAUACACAGGUUGCUGCUGAUUACAAGGCGGUUGCUUAUACCCCAGAUGUAAUGGAACGGAGAAGAAUGCAGACAGAGACACUUUCAGCUGUAUUUGAAACAUAUUUUCGCAUAUUGAAGCACACAAUGCAGUCAUCAGCUGUCAGGUUUAUAGUGCAUCAUUUUUCAUGAACUUCUAAUCUGUCUUGUCCUAUGAGUCUGGUUUAGCUUAAAAAGAUACUAAUUAGAGAAAGAAAGAGAGGAUUUAUAUAUUGAGGUGCCUUCAAGUCUCAGAAUGGAACAUAUUUUGGCAAAUCAAACGGUUGGGGGAACCAACCUUAGUCUAUUGGUUAUAUAAAGGCGGUGUAUUUGUUGCCAUUUGGUUACCAUGUAAACUAAGAAGCUGUGGAUACAUCUGUAGUCUGCACAACUGUUCAAUGAUUUGUUUUUUUCUUUUGGUGUCCUUUAUGGGUAUUCUAUAUAGAUAUAGGAUACUUGAAGUAAGCUUACAAAGAUAAGCAUACAUAAGCUCUGAGACUUGAUAGGCUAUGGACAACAUGGUUUCUAGUGAUAGGCUAUUUCCUGAAUCUAGUAGGCAAUAAAGAAGCUAGGUAUCUAAUGCUGCCCAAAUAUAUUCAUCAUUUACCUUGCCAUCCGACAUUCUUUCAUGUUGAAGAAAUUUAUGUUCAUUUCUAUACUUCGUAUGUAUCAGACCUUGUUAGUCUUGUGACAGUUUAAUUUUUGUAAAUGCAUACACUCGAUUGGUUGUCUACACUCUAACAGGCUUCUUUAUGGAUACCUCAAAUGGUUAUGUGUUGUUUGGAUCAGCUGGGCAUUCAAAGUUCGGUGGAUUAAGAGUUUUGAAAAUUGGAGUCUGUCUGGAGUAAUUUAUAUUUGUUCUUUCGGGUAGUCUACAUUUGUAGAUUUUAUGUAUAUACAGAUUUCAAAUACAUUGACUAAUUUCCUGUAUUUUGUUACUCAGAUCAGAAGCAAAUCUUGGUGUAUCGACCGGUGCAUCUGAGCCCUACCCUUUACUUGCUCCCUGUCUGCAAGGAUUAGGAAAGUUUUCACACCUAAUUGACUUGGAUUUCAUGGGUGAUCUGAUAAACUCUCUGAGAAAGCUUGCUUCUGGUGGUGGUGAUACUGAUAGAAGUUCAAAAUGUUUGACUGUAUCUGAGCGUCUGCGAUGCUGCAUUGUCGCAUUCAGAGUGAUGAAGAGCAAUCUUGAUGCCUUGAAUGUUGAUCUACAGGACUUCUUCGUCCAGCUUUACAAUAUUAUACUCGAAUAUAGGCCUGGAAGGUUUGUUCUGAACUUAGUAAUCCCAAUGUUCUUUGGUAACUUCUGUGAAGAAAAUACUUCACAAAGCACUUCUUUAACAAAUGCCUGGUUUUGAUUCUGUACUUGUCUUAUUAGGGAAGAUGUUGAUCAGCCAUGGGGAUUUAAAUUAUACUUAGUCGACAGCAUCUAAUCAGUUUGUUUUUAUUAGAUAUUUUGCACCAUUCUAGUAUGAAUUAUGUGAUUAGUUAAUGCAAACCCUACAAUUCAUUAUUUAGUACUGAAUACUUUCUUCUGUCUUAAGGAUCAUCAAAAUAAGGAAGAACAGAAAAAUACCAUGUGUCUCUCUUUCUCUCUCUCAAUAAUUUCUUGCAUGAUAUAUUGCUUGAAAUUGUAUUGUCCUGUUUCUGGUCGGAUGUGAUGGAGUGGUAGGUUACUAGUUGAUACUAAAUUCUUACUAUUUAUUUAUGUAAUUUUUUUUGGUGCUAUGGAGCAGAGAUCAGGGUGAAGUAUUAGCUGAAGCUCUCAAGAUAAUGCUGUGUGAAGAUAGACAGCAUGACAUGCAGAAGGCUGCUGCUUUUGUAAAGCGUCUAGCAACAUUCUCGUUAUGUUUUGGGUCUGCAGAGUCCAUGGCUGGUAGGUUAUUUUAUGCAUUUAUGUUUGUAGCCAAAUAAGCUAAUCUGUUGUUAAGGAUUCUCAUGCCUCUUACCAUUUGAAUCUUUUUGCAGCCUUGGUUACCUUAAAGCAUCUUCUUCUGAAGAAUGUCAAGUGCCGAAACCUGUUAGAGAAUGACGCUGGAGGUGGCUCAGUGUCCGGUUUAAUUGCGGUAAAGCUCUCUUGCUACUCUUGUUCACACAUAAUUUGUUGCGUUAAUAAAGAUAGAUAUGCUUCAUCCUCUAUUAAGAGAUUCAUGAUAUUUAGUGGAUUGGAGCUCGUAAUCAGCUUAUAUUUACUGUAACUGAAUUUCUAAAGAGUUUUUUUGUCCUCGAUUGGUUAUGUGAUUUCUUUUCAGUGCAUAUGGCAUGAUUAGAGGAACUUGAAUCUAAUUCUCUCUUUAUCUUCCUCCUAAUGCACAGAAAUAUCAUCCUGAAGCUUCAGACCCCAAUUUAAGUGGUGCUCUUGCUUCGGUUCUUUGGGAGCUUAAUCUUCUCUCCAAGCAUUAUCAUCCAGGUGUUUCAAGUAUGGUUUCCAGUAUAUCUAGUAUGAACACUGCUCACUCAAACCAAGUCUAUCUCUCUACCAUUACUCCUCAGCAAGCCUUCUUGGACUUCUCCUUGGAGAAACCAGGGUCAUUCAAGUUCCAGGGUGACAUUAGAAAGUCAAAUAACAAGAGGAAAAGAGGAACAGGCUCUUCUAUAUCUACUGGGAUGGAGCCAUCCGAAUAUACAACUUCAAUCGAUGAAGAUGAAGUGAAAAAGAAACUUUCUGCUCAUUUUAUGGUUCUUCGAGACAUAAAGGAGAAUCAAAGAUUGAGGGCCGAGCUGCAAAGUACUACAUCAUCCAUAGAGCUAUAUGAUGGGUAUAAGAAGCAGAAGAAAAAGGCUAAAAAGCCCCAAACCAAGAAAAUUAAAAUUUUGACACAGUGACAUUUUGUCCUGGAUACUGAAUAUUUAUAAUUUAUGCAAUUGUAUGAUUUUUCUGCCUUCAAUUGUUAUUUGUAUGAUAUGGUUUUCUUGUUACAAAAAAUCGCCGAAUUAGAAUGGUCGGCUACAGUGUCAUCAAUGUUUGAGGAAGUGUUGGAGUAGAGGAUGGAAACCUCCAAACUAAUCCUCGAUCAGAUUAUUAAGAGGGGCAUAUAACUCUUGCUUUUGAGUUCUAUUAGUAAUGGAGCGAUGGAGUUACAGAAACAGAUGGACCUGUUCUUGCAACAAAUUUUAGUGUAGUGAAAGAUGUAUCUAACUAAUUAACAGAAUAGCAAACUAAUGUCCGAGUCUAAUGAGUUGAUGUUGUUGAAUGGCACUAUGUUUUUCAAGAUACGAUUCUGACAUCAGUGAAUGCAGAUGCCACUUGGGAAUACUGGAUUGAGUCAAUAGUGAGGACUCUAAAUCAAUGCUCGAGUAUCACUAUUCAACUGUUUAUCAAACAUUCAAACGUGUAUAGAGAUAAACUGAGAGUCUCUAGUGAAGACCUUUAUAUCAAGGACCAAAUAAUGACAUAUAAGUGUGGCACUAUAAUCCUAUAAUCUUUAUGAGAAACGUUCUACAAUCAAAGCUUAUCAGUAGAGACUUCAUGCAUCGACACACGGUAAGAUUGUUGGAUAAAUUCAUCACUUCAUCUUUAUGAGAAGUACUUCGCAUGCUAUUAGUCUAUUACAUUAGUCGUUUUGUUGCUCACAAAGGAAAUAUUCGUGCUUCAUAAAGUAACUAUGAUUAAUAUAUAUAUAUAUAUGUAAGCUAAAUUAUGUUGCCAAAUAGCUUGUGAUAUAGUGUCUCUUUGCUUGGCUUGAAUCUACAGCCCCUAGCUUCGUUCUUAUCUAUAUCAUUUCUAAUUUUGAUUCAUAUUAACCAAUUUAUUCGAGAUAUUGGGAGAAACUGAAAAUUUCGUGUAGAACGGAGGACGUAGAUUUAGGUCAUUAUGCUUAAGUCAUAAGAAGUCAUAUAGGUGGAUUUGCUCUAAGCUGAUUCGCUAGUGAACAUUGCAACGCUAAGUAUAGCUAGAAGAUCAAACACCCUAAACUAGGGAUGUUAAUUUCAUAUACAUUAACGUCUAUGACCUUUAAUUGGUGGGUUAGAUAUGAAAUGCCUUAGGUAGGGGCUCUAAUCCAUGACAGUUAAAAAAAAAUAUGUAUAUAAAACUAGGAGACCAUACGUGAUUGUUUUUUAUCGUUGAUCAGACUACACUUACUAAUAUGUUUAUCAAUAUAUGAAGUUUAUAAUUAUUUAAAAAAUUAAGAUUUGCCAAAUUAUUGAUGGGUCGGUUUAUCAAAUUCGUUCAUCAAUCAUGUAUUUUUGUUGGAAUGUUAGCUCAUAUGGCAUAAAAUAAAAAACAAGGCACACCAUUUAGUAACUUUCCUAGUAGUUCUGUUUCACAUGCAAUUGAAGCAAAUGUUAAGAUGAAUAGUGUGGUUGUGGAUGAUAUAUUCAUAUAUACAUAUACAUAUACAUAUAUACAUUUAUCAAUAUCUCGAGCUCAAAAUUGACUCCAGUCAAGUUACUCAAGUGGGUUUCUCAAGUAGUCUCAACUCUCAACCAUAUCUCUUCCUUUAGACCAGAGCGUAGCCAUAGAUUUAUGAGUGAUGCAAAUCAACUUCAGCCAGUGCCAAUUUUCCAGCUUACAAAAACUUAUUAUCUGCCAUAUGGGAAAGUACCAUUAGCUGCUUAUCUACAGAAUCCCAACUCAUUUCCAAGAGUUGAAGGGAAAAUCAUUAGAAGCUACCUCUUGCAAAGAUUGGCCUAUGCCAAUUAAUUUGAAGCGCAAGUAAAUUUCAAAAAUGGAGACCAGUGUUGCAUGCUAUGCCAGAGGAGCUUUCCCGCGUAAUGUUUCAUCAUCUCAGCAUUCGACCUCGUUGAUGUCUCCAGCUUCCAUCUCUCCUUCUUUCAAUGCUAAGGUAGUAUAGUACUAUAUGAUCAUUAACACAUUGAAAAUAGUGGAGAGAUUUUAUUAGUUAUUUCCUAAAGGAUGUGUAUGAUUGAUCUGCAGGUUUUGAGAACAAGCUCCCUAUUUGGGGAAUCAUUGCGUCUGGUUCCGAAAUCAUCCCUUAGAGCUUUGAAGACAAAGAACAGUUCUGUUGCACCAAAAUGCGCAAUCGGGGAUAGCUUGGUAAGAUGUUAUGCAUUCUUUCAAGACUAAUUGGCUGUAAGUGGAAGAGGUCCCGGGAAUUAUAAUGUGUCAUGCAAGGAAUAGUGAAUGUGUGAUUAAUUUUUGUAGGAAGAGUUUCUAACAAAGGCAACCCCGGAUAAGUCACUGAUUUCAUUGUUGUUGGCAAUGGGAGAAGCAAUAAGAACGAUUGGAUACAAAGUGAGGACAGCUUCUUGUGGUGGAACUGCAUGUGUCAAUAGCUUUGGAGAUGAGCAGCUUGCUGUUGAUAUGCUUGCUGAUAAGCUUCUAUUCGAGGUGAUCUUAAAUGACACUCAAAUUUACAUACUAUAUAUAGAAGUAUAAAUAAUGUUGCGCCCCAAAAUAAGCUUCUAAGCGACUAAUUUGUUCCUCGCCAAUUGGGUUUUCUGUUGUAGUGUGCAUAAUUCUUCUCUUGAUAUAGCAUAACUGCAUAAGUGACUUCUCCAAAAUCCAACAUUGGUUCUUUUCAUUUUUAUCAUAUAUAAGUACUGAUAUACAUCUUGUCAACAUCUAAUCUAGGCCUUAACUUACUCACACGUCUGCAAAUAUGCUUGUUCCGAAGAAGUUCCUGAGCUCCAAGACAUGGGAGGUCCAGUUGAAGGUUUACAUUUCAUCAGAGCACUCAAUAUUUGAACACCAGUGUUGCUUAAUCAUGUUGUAAUUAAUACAAUUAACUUAAACAGGUGGAUUCAGUGUUGCCUUUGAUCCGCUUGAUGGAUCGAGUAUUGUGGACACAAACUUCACAGUGGGGACUAUCUUUGGGGUGUGGCCGGGAGAUAAGUUAACUGGGGUUACCGGAGCUGACCAAGUAGCUGCAGCCAUGGGGAUUUACGGACCUCGAACAACUUAUGUUCUUGCUAUUAAAGGCUUCCCCGGCACCCACGAGUUCCUUCUUCUUGAUGAAGGUUUGCUUCAAUCCGAAUCAUUCGAAUUAAUCAAUUUCACAUUGUUGAUCAGUUAAAAUCUCAUUUGGUCUGAACUCACGAGUUGUUUAUCAGGAAAGUGGCAACAUGUCAAGGAGACAACAGAAAUUGGUGAAGGAAAGAUGUUCUCCCCUGGAAAUUUGAGAGCCACAUUUGACAACCCUGACUACGGCAAGGUCAUUUUUGAUUAGUCUCGAUCUUAAACUCUAGAUUACUAUGAUUCUGUCAUAUUUGUCCUACUUCUCCAACACAAACAUGAGACUUGCUAUGAUAUAGUGUGAAUCCCAUGCAUGUUGUGAGAUGAUGGUCACUGUGUGACACUCAUUCGAAAAUUAUUGCUACGAAAACGUUACUGAUGGCUUUAUAUUUCUUACGUUGUUAUAAUCUAACAGCUAAUUGACUACUACGUGAAAGAGAAGUACACACUGAGAUACACCGGAGGAAUGGUUCCCGACGUUAACCAGGUAUUUACUCUACGUAAUUAGGUUUCCGGCAACAGUUGGUUAUCCAAAGUAGAAUAUAGGUGUGUGCGUACAUUAUAUAAAAUAAAACAAUAAGGGGAAAAACACUGUUCAUAUCUUUGCUGAAUUGUGUUUUUUCCUUAAGUUCCGGUAAAUUGUGUUUUUGCCUUCAGUUGGUGAAUGGUCGUUUUUGCUUUUUAAUGCAAUUUAUUUACGACUCUAUCGUUAUACUGACCAAAAAGACUGUGUUACCCCUUAAUGUAAAUUUAUUUACAAAUGUUCAAUUGUUCUGAUAAAAAAAAUGUUUGUGUCAUUGAAAAUUUUGUUACUUCUUUAUUUUCUAUUUUUUACUUGGUUGUGGGCAUGGGGUCAAAGAUGUCCAUGGUGGGUUUUGGCAAGGGGAAGGCCAUGGUAUGGUGGUGGAAUUAAAAAAGGAUGGUAGAGGUUAUGGGGUUGAUGGUGAAUUUUAUGCAGGUGGCGGAAUAGGAGGUGGUAGAAUUGGAAGUGAGCGGUGGAUUUUGCAGGCAUGGAGGCCAUAAUUUGAGGAAGAUGGAUGUAUUUGUGGAAAAAUAGGGGAAAGCGAGGGAAUCGGCGGUAGAUUUAGAAAAGGUGGUGGCGUAGGAGGCGUGAGAUGGGGAUUGAAUACUGUUCAUCAUCAAGAAAUCAUAUCCCGCAGCAACGCGCGGGUGGUAUCUAAAGCACUGUUAGAUAGGUUUUAUUUACUAGUGUUAUAUAUGUUAAUCGCAAGUUUUUAUUAGAUAUAAAUAAAACAAAGAUUGUCGCAUGAAUGAUUUAGUGAGCAAAUUAUCUAAUCAAUGUAGGUAGUCCAUGAGAAAUACGUGUUCCUUAUUGAAUGAUCUGCAUGUGUAAACAUUUUCUGGCUUGAAAUUGCAGAUUAUUGUAAAGGAGAAGGGUGUCUUCACAAAUGUGAUAUCCCCAACAACCAAGGCAAAACUGAGACUGUUAUUUGAGGUGGCUCCAUUAGGACUGUUGAUUGAGAAUGCCGGAGGUUACAGUAGUGAUGGGCACAAGUCUGUGCUGGACAAGGUCAUCGUCAAUCUUGAUGACCGGACCCAAGUCGCUUACGGAUCCAAGAACGAGAUUAUCCGAUUCGAAGAAACUCUAUAUGGAUCAUCCAGGCUCAAGGAAGCAGUGCCUGUUGGAGCUGCUGCUUAAACCAUAUGUAGUCACAGCAUUUGCUGUUUUUGCUAGCUUAAUGUAUUGGCUAAUGCAUUACUUCUUCUCUUCGUUUUUCUUUCUUCUGGGAAAUAAAACUAAUAUAGCUACAUAUAUAUCUCAAAAUUAUAGUGAACUUGGAGACAAAGGUUGAAUCUGUGUAUUCAGAUGUAAAAAUUAAAGAAUGGGGAAGGGAUGUGACCCCAAGAUCUUAAUUUGGGCUUCUUGUCUAUUCUACGAGCCCAAUAAGCCUAGAUUUAUACAACUGGGCUAGAGCAAAUCUUCCAGCAAUCCCAAAUCAACUAUACUUUUUCUCUUAUAUAUCAAGGCUAAUCAUUUCUUUCAUAUCCGCUUGUGUUGCAAAUGCUGGUGUGAACUUGGGAAGGGGUGUUGUUAAAGGAUUUUCGUUGUAGUUUUGUUUUGUUGUCGUUUUAAUAAAAUACGAAAAAAAAAAAAAAACUAAGGUGUAAACAUGGUUUCAUGACGACAUGAACGUCGCCUUCCUCAAAGAAGAAAACAUUGAUGUGAUACCUAUUAAUAUUAAGACCGACUUCCAUCAUAGUCGUAAGUGUAGAUAGAUUAUUCUUUCUCAUUUCCCUAUCAUGGAUUAUUUUUCUUCAUAUAUGAACAUCGAUCAAGAUGCUUCAUGAUGAUGAAGCAUGAAGUAUAGAUAGUUUUCUUGGCAUGUGCAGAACCAUAUGCUAAAUUCUCUUAAUUAAAAUGAUCUGCAAACUAAUUAAAAAGUUUAUUUUUAUGAAAGGGUAUCAUCAAUUAUGUAGUAUGAAAAAUCAUACACGUAUUAUUUUGAAUUAUGUCAGCUGCUUAACUUGCAUGUGAUGACGAGUAGAAUCUGUUCGCCACUCAUGUUCCAUGCAUUAAUUAUAAUUCAAUCCAAGCAGCUGCAGAUAUUUGCUUCUCAAAAUAAAUCGAUCAGCUGAUAAUUAAUUAUUAUAAUUUGCAGAAAUUAACUUCGAUCAGACUUAAAUCAAACAUAUAUACGGAUCCAUGUGCUUCUCAUUACUAGCUAGUUAGACGGUGGUUUAUGAUCUUGAUUAAUCCAAGUUCUGCAUGUGCAUCAGUGCAUGCAUGGACUAGAUGUAUACGAGGUUAUGUUAGAUAUAUAUAUACAGACAAGUAGACGUCGUUGAAAUGAUGAAUGAAGGAUUCAAGAAUUGAGCUGUUGAACAGUAUGCAGCUUGAUUUAAAGAUAUGAACGCAUAAUAUAUAGGAUUAUUGAAUCAAAUGAUGAGGAGUCAAGUCAUGCAUGAGCUCUCCCUUUGCCUAGUCUCAACUCUCAACUCUCAACCUUAUAAAUCAAGGCAUCGUCUCAGUAAUGAAUAAGUUUAACUAUUCAUUUUUUACUUCAAAAUUUAAACUAGAGUACGUAACAGAAUCAAUGCAUGGCAAAGUCCUUACCCCGGCCGCCUCCAGUACUUCUUCGAUGAAUUAAUUAAUCACUUAACUAUUCAUUUUGAUCGAUUGACUCCUUAAUAAUAUUUGGUUUAUUGUUAUUGACAUAGACAUAGGUUAGGAAUCAAAUUAUCUUAAUUACAAAUAUGCACAAGCAAUUAACUUCAUGCGGUUGUGAUCGACCAGGUUGUGCCAUGUGCAGUUUCUGGGAAACUAAUAAUAUCAUUAUAUUUGUUUAAGUUCUUUGAUUAAUCAAACUAAUUAAUCAACAACAAGGGCUAGCUGCAGAAGCUGCUGGCUCAUGAUCGAUAAGGUGUGCGUAAGGCGGCAUUUAUUUUUCAAAGCAUAUAACGCGAUCACAGCAGCCCUCAGUGUUCCAUAUACUACUCAAAUACUUCUGUAUUCUGUUGACGACGACCAAACAAGAUAUGAACGCCUUGGACUGCGCAUCAUUAUAUGAGAGUCAAAUGGAUCGAGCUCCAUGCAUAUGAUCAACUCUUUCAUGGUAGGUUUGCCCAGUUUCUUGAAGUUAUGAUUAAUCAUAUAUAAACUAAUUAAGCAUGUGUAUAUAUGACUGAUAGAAGUUUAAACUAAGAACGCUUGAGGUCUAAGAAUGGAAAUGACAAAAGUCGAUCUUCGUGGUUAACCUAAAUAAUGAAAGUGCAGAAAGUUUAGAGUAUUAAUUUGGACUUGAUUAAUAAAAUUGCAUUAAUUGGACAAGAAUUGUACGCAAAGCCUUCAAAUUUGAAUCACGUAUGUAAUGAAAAAUCUAAUACGUACAUUUCUGAUGUUCGGCACAAUAUCAGCACACACAAGAAAAGAGAAAAACAUGUCUUAAUCAGUAGACAAUCGUAAUCCGAGAUGAAAAACAUGUCUUCACCACUGCUUUACAUAUGUUACGCCUUAUCUUGCAGCCGCAAAGGCAAUGUUCCUGUCACACUUACUUUACAGAGCUAGGUUUCUACAAGGAUAAGCCAUCGGAGUUAGUUUAUUGAGUGGAUUAAUUAACGAUGUAUAUGCAUGUACUGACUGCAAAGUCUCAUUGGUGAUUAGGAUCCACUUAUAGAAACCACUAUAUAUCCAAAAUCUGUAUCAAUUUUAUCCAAAAGCUAUGACCAACUUUACUCUAGUCGCAUGCCGUUAUACAUAAGUGUGCGCUAUAUAUCUUUAAUUAUUACCAGAAUGCAUGACGAGAUCGAUCGACUAUCGAAUUCAUGAUUUAUCUCAAGGACUACUUAACCUGCAUAACGAUACUAGCUAGCUAGCUAGCUAUCGAAUGUUUUGUUCGUAACAAAACAAGAAGGUAAGCCGAGAACCGAUUGCAGAACCACUACUACAUGUAUAAAUAUUAAGUUUGAACUCUGGAAUGAAAACAAUAGUAUAAAAACUCAUCUAGAUCUGGGGCAGCUGGGUACGCGCGCAGAGUGAAAAUCAGGGUUGAAUGUAUAAGGAUAGUUGGCAAUCCUUUUAUCCUGCAAAACACUUUGAGAUAAUGUUAUCUGAUCAAGAACAAGUGGCACUAAUAUCCCUUAUGGUUUCAGGUAAAACAUGCAUAUGCAUAUCACUGUUUUUCACAGAGGUUAGCAGCUUCGCUUGCUAUCGUAGUACUGAGUCUUCUGCUGUCCUGAGUUUUAAAGUCUGUUAUAUUAGUUUAAUAAGUCUUUCAAAUUCAAAUGGACAACUAAGUUUGUGGGAAGUGCUUUGGCGCUCAAACCAGUCUAAGGGUUGAGAUCUUUUGUUAUGCCAACCCGUGACCAAUUGGUUUGAUGCUCAAGGCUCCAGCUUGGAUUUUAUGAUAUAUUAUCCAAUACAAAGCUAGUCCCUGUGUGAUUCAAAGACCAGUCGCUAUCGACUGUGUCAAGGUCCACUGAUGGACUGAGUAAGAGGGUUUCAAACCUCUUUGCUCCCUGUUUUGAAUCGUUCAUGUUUUAGGAAAUGUGUCUUUGUCUUAUUGAGGUUGCUUGUGUCAACUCUCCAUUUGGUUACAUCACUUUCAGUAUGGGGAACCAAACACUUCUGUCCAAACCUUUCUGAAACAUGUUGAGGUCAGCUUGCAUCAUCUUUGAUGCCUUGUCUGCCUAUAUAUAUAUCUAUAGCUCUGCCUUUGCUCAAUGGUUGUCAAAAUGUAGUUUUUACAUUUGCAUUGUUGGGUUUUGGUUUUCCUUUGCUGUGUUCAUUAGUCUCUAAGUCUUCCUUUUGUGAUUAUAAACCUUAGAGCUGAACAAAACUGACACGACCCACCCCGAAUUUCACCCUGAAACCCAGAGUAAGUCGUGCGGGGACCACCUCCAAGGAAAAUUUACUGAAAAGAUUAAGCAAAUCUCCCUUGCAGAUGGACAACCCUAACUCGAAAAUUUCAUAUUACACUCUUAAUUUAACGCUUCUGAAUAUCACAUAAUAUACAAAAUUCUAAAGUAUUCAGAGCUACUAAACACAAGCGGAAGCAAGAAAACACGAGUAGGUUGAACAUGUAACCUACUGAUGAAAACUGGCCGAAAAGCGGGUGACUAUGCCUCGUCUCCUACUAGAUCCAACCCGAACUCUGCAGACUGGGCAAUUAAAACGAAGGGCCCAGGGGAAAACAUUUAAUAACGUUAGAGUGAGUGGACAAAAAUAAAUUAAUAAUUAAAAUAUUUAUG
rnacentral:lncRNA from 1 species